rnacentral:rRNA from 1 species
GCGCACCAGGCGCGAAUCCUUUACAAUGCACGAAAGUGUGAUAAGGUUACCCGGAGUGCUAAAAUUAAAUUUUAGCUGUUAUAGGUGUGUAAAUAACCCUAUGAGAAAGGAGAGGGCAAGGCUGGUGCCAGCCGCCGCGGUAAAACCAGCUCUUCAAGUGGUCGGGAAUAUUAUUGGGCUUAAAGUGUCCGUAGUCCGGUUUAGUAAGUUCCUGGUUAAAUCUGGCAGCUUAACUGUCAGUCAGCUAGGAAUACUACUUUACUAGGAGGGUGGGAAAGGUUUGAGGUACUCCGAGGGGUAGCGGUGAAAUGCGAUAAUCCGUUGGGGGACCACCAGUGGCGAAGGCGUCAAACUGGAACACGCCUGACGGUGAGGGACGAAAGCCAGGGGAGCGAACGGGGAUUA